rnacentral:rRNA from 1 species
AAUAAUUUAUUUGAUGGUUUCUUACUACAUGGAUAACUGUAGUAAUUCUAGAGCUAAUAUAUGCGUAAAAUCCCGACUCUCGCGGGGAGGGAUGUAUUUAUUAGAUAAAAAACCAAUGCGGCCUUUGGCCGGUUCUGUGGUGAAUCAUAGUAACUUUUCGAAUCGCAUGGCUUCACGCCGGCGAUAGUUCAUUCAAAUUUCUGCCCUAUCAGCUUUCGACGGUAGUGUAGUGGACUACCGUGGCGUUAACGGGUAACGGAGAAUUAGGGUUCGAUUCCGGAGAGGGAGCCUGAGAAACGGCUACCACA